GACGAACGCUGGCGGCGUGCCUAACACAUGCAAGUCGAGCGGAGAAAUUAAAGCUUGCUUUAAUUUCUUAGCGGCGGACGGGUGAGUAACACGUGGGCAACCUGCCCUUGAGAGGGGGAUAACACAGAGAAAGUUGUGCUAAUACCGCAUAACAUUUAGACUUCGCCUGGAGUUUAAAUCAAAGGAGUAAUCCGCUCAAGGAUGGGCCCGCGGCGCACUAGCUAGUUCGUGAGGUAAUGGCUCACCAAGGCGACGAUGCGUAGCCGACCUGAGAGUGUGAUCGGCCACAUUGGAACCGAGUCACGGUCUAGACUCCUACGGGCGGCAGCAGUGGGGAGUAUUGCGCAAUGGGGGAAACGCUGACGCAGCAACGCCGCGUGAGCGAUGAAGGCCUUCGGGUUGUAAAGCUCUGUCUUUGGGGACGAUAAUGACGGUACCCAAGGAGGAAGCCACGGCUAACUACGUGCCAGCCGCCGCCGUAACAC
rnacentral:rRNA from 1 species